rnacentral:rRNA from 1 species
AACGAACGCUGGCGGCAGGCCUAACACAUGCAAGUCGAGCGCCCCGCAAGGGGAGCGGCGGACGGGUGAGUAACGCGUGGGAACGUGCCCUUUGCUACGGAAUAGCCUCGGGAAACUGGGAGUAAUACCGUAUGUGUCCUUCGGGAGAAAGAUUUAUCGGCAAGGGAUCGGCCCGCGUUGGAUUAGGUAGUUGGUGGGGUAAUGGCCUACCAAGCCGACGAUCCAUAGCUGGUUUGAGAGGAUGAUCAGCCACACUGGGACUGAGACACGGCCCAGACUCCUACGGGAGGCAGCAGUGGGGAAUCUUAGACAAUGGGCGCAAGCCUGAUCUAGCCAUGCCACGUGAGCGAUGAAGGCCUUAGGGUUGUAAAGCUCUUUCAGGGGGGAAGAUAAUGACUGUACCCCCAGAAGAAGCCCCGGCUAACUCCGUG